rnacentral:ncRNA from 2 species
UACGGAGGGUGCAAGCGUUGUCCGGAUUUAUUGGGUUUAAAGGGUGCGUAGGCGGCUAUUUAAGUCAGUGGUGAAAUCCAUCAGCUCAACUGAUGAACUGCCAUUGAUACUGGAUAGCUUGAGUACAGACGAGGUAGGCGGAAUUGACAGUGUAGCGGUGAAAUGCAUAGAUAUUGUCAAGAACACCGAUUGCGAAGGCAGCUUACUAGGCUGUAACUGACGCUGAGGCACGAAAGUGCGGGGAUCAAACAGG